UGAUCCCUGGCCUAGGCAUCUGGCAGAGUUGGGUCCAGCUAGUUGCACCCUGGGGGCUGUGUUCCAUCUCUGUUGUUUUGCCUCAGGCCAAACUGUCAAGCCUCCAGCAGAGAUUCCUGGACACUCACAGUUCUUGCAGGAGAAGAUGAGUGCAACUCGCCUCCGUGGGCAGGUCAACCUGAGUGCUCCUUCUAGGGGGUCCCAAGACCUCUAGUCUCACAUUUCACUCGUGGCACAAACAGCAAUGGUUGCUGCUGUGUUUCGGUACUCAGCCUAGAGUGGGCAGUGCUGAGCCUGCAGCCCUGGCUCAAGCGGAGCCCAGAUUAUCCAGAGUCCUGUAAGCUGCAGGUUUUGAAGAAAUAUCUCCAGUCUUCAGAAAGAGGAAACAGCUCUCACCAUUGACAAUGUGAUAGAAGGGGCCGCAUAAUGGGUACGAAAUGCCGAGUAAACAAACGUAAUCUCUGAGCGCCAUCUCCUGGAACCAUUUACCACAUCACACCAGCCUCCCGUCAUCCCGGCCUCAGCAAGGCUCUGCACCACUGCCUGAAGCUGCAAGACAGGAAGGCUCCUGGGGGGCAGGCAAUGCCUAUUAGCCCCCUGUGCCUUCUGUCCCCAGGUGAGGCUGCUGCUGGUUUAGGGCCAGCCUGUUUCUGCGUCAGCCCCCAGCUCUGCCCUACGCAGGGGGGCCGCUUCUAGCAUCCCCCUCCCUUUAUGGCCUCCUGCCUGCAUGAUGACCACUUCCUGUGACUGGCUAUCUGCUCUUUGAGCCAGAGUUUGCUUCAUCUUGGUCUUCU
ensembl:lncRNA